rnacentral:lncRNA from 1 species
UUUUCAGUUUUUAAAUAAAAAAUAUAUAGUUAGGAUAAUAUGGGCCUCCUAAGGUUGAGUGAGUUAUUGGUUGAAUAGUAUAAUUUAACGGGUAAAAAAUAUACUACCAAUUAUAUCAAAAUAUAUAUAUAAAGAACUAUACUACUAUACUAUUAAUAGCACUAAGCAUUUGAUACUAUUAGAUUUUUAGGUCUUGGAUGAAGAGAUAUGCAGUUAGAAUGCUGGUGGUUAGAAUGAUAGUGUUUCCUUAGAAUUGAGUGGUUAGUUAGUCGAAUAGUAUGAUCUAACGGAUGGAAAUGAUCCAAGAAGUAGAUCUAACGGCGAAAAAUUUGAUAACACUAAGCGUUUAGUACUAUCGAUAGUAUAGUAGCCGGAUAUAUAUAUUCACUUACAACCCAUUUGGUUCGGGUAUAAGGAGUGGGAUAAAGGGUUAUCCUUUUCUUAUUUCAGUAAACAAUUCAAUUUUCAUCCAAACGUAAAAUUAAUCUAUUUUAAAUUUAUAUUUAUUACUGAAAUAGAUAGUUCUUAUUUAUAUCUGAACCGAACGAAAUCACGUUGUUUUUACGUUUUAGGGGAU